GAGUACGAGGCUUGGGAGAAGUCAUUCCCAGCACAGCUCUUGCCAUUUUUCUCUUCACUGUUGGAGCCUUGAAUGCUCAACGGCUCAGAGUUAACUCAGCAGCUUCAAGAGAUUCAGUAAUAUUUGUUUUUACCCAAAUCCCUCGAAGUCUGAGGGAAUGGAGACAGAAUCAGUUUGAGAUGAAAAGCCAAGAAAAGUAAAUCAUCCUUGGGUCAGGGUGAGCUCUCAUUUGAAGAGGCCACAGAUGGCAGGGAUGUUCAUGAAUCAGCAGUUUCACAGACCUCUGCCCAUUCAGGGAGUAAUGUGUGUAAACAAACAUGAAAACGACACACAGCCACAGAGCUUUCCAGAUCCUUCCUGUUCCCUCUGCGCUGUCAAGGGGGCCCUCCUCAGAGGAACUGGACAGAAGGAGAGGGCUGCUGCCCCAGGCACUGGGCUUGUCCCAGGAUGGUCAGCCUACACUUUCUGCUUUGUCUGUGUGAGAGCCAGAGACUAGAAUGAUGGCAGGAUGUCCGCUGUUCUCCCACCAGUGCAGCCAGGACCUGCUGACCAAGAUGCUCCCAAAGAGAUGCAGUGUCACUUCCAAGCUGCCCGAGUGUCAGACUGAGUGGCACUUCUACUGGAAGAUAACAUGUGGGGACAGACAGGUUAUGUGACAUGCUCCGGGUCACGUGAGCAGUGUGUGUCAGAGUGAGAAACAGCACCUGGAUCUCUCAGUUGUGAGGCUGUUGCUCUUGGCACUGCGUCAUCCUGACUGCAAACAAAACACUGGGAUUGACUUUGCCUGUGUCCUUUUUGUGCCUACAAACGUGCCCACCUGCCAGCUUCAGAGCCAGCACUCCACACCGUGUGCCCAAGGCAAGUCUGAUGCUUCCACGUGAGGUCCAAAACUGUCAGUAUCGUGACCAGAGAGACUACUAGGAAAAUUUAAAGUUUUCAGGUCAGCCCAAUGGCUGCUCUGGAAGGCAUGCUGUGGGCCAUCCAUCAAGUCUGUACCACCCCAGUUUGGUUUGGACAGGAGACAAUGCUACAGGCUAUGCUAAAACCAAAGUAAGUGACAUCCACUGCAUCCCUAACCUUGUUCAUCCAGCACAUAAUUCCAGCAUAGAAGGCAGCCAGAUUGGCCAGGUACAGUUUGACCUUAGUAAAUCCACGCUGCCUGUUCUGAGUCGCAUUCUUGUCCUUGCGUCUGGAAAUGGCUUCCAUAUGGACUUGCUCAGUAGUAUUCCCAGAGAAAACGUACUGAUACCUUAAAAAUGACAUCUAGUUCUUUGCUAAUGCUUAGGCUAAUCCCUUUCAGAGAAGCCAGUUGAUUACAUGCGUGGAGUUUGUGACACCUACAGCAUGAGCCUGAUGUGCUGGUUGAGGGAAUUUUUGGUAGGGAGUGGCUGAGCAGGUCAAAUUCAGAAGCAACCUAACCAGGACACACCUACUUCUCCUCUGUUGGGAGUCCCUUUCUUCCCAGCGUGGCCACCAGGAAUGACCUUCCUACUGUUGUUGCCAUGGGUUUUGUGUUACCAUAAGGCAGGAGUCCUAAAGGGAAGAAAUGGGAGAAGAGGAGGAACCAGACCAGCAGACAGUGGAGUAAAGUAUUGUCUGACCCUGGCACCCAGCACAGAUCUGACUAGUUUUGUAAGAGGAAGAAAUAAGGAAGAAGAAGGGGUAAGGUUAGCUGCUUGGAGAGUUGGGUGCGGGCCUGGUCAUUUCUAGAGAGCAUGAGUAUUUCAGUCAACAGGAAGGGUCAGGCACUUGCCAAAAUACACAUGAGCACAAUAGCCUAUAGCAUGUUGAAUUCACAGAAGACGGUUGAGUUUCACUAGGUAUGACUUCAGCAAAGCAUUUUUCCUGCUCCGGCCCCACAGUCUGACCUGGUGACUUUCCAACCAUUUUCUUUCUUACUUUCUAUCAUCAUACUUAUAUCUAUAACUAUUGUUGUUCAGGCCCUUGUGAGCCAAUCUGGCAUGCCCUUGCGUGGCUUGAAGCUCACUCCUUGUGGUGGAUACAGCACCUGCUCCCAGGCAACGAGACAUCUCUGAAGUCUUCUGAAUCACUCCCUUUCUAUGGAGAACUCUUGGAAGUGCUAGUAAGAACAGUGGAGGGCUGGUGGAAGUCACCGGCAUGUUCACAGCUGGAAAAGCAUGGCAGACCAGAAAUGUCCCCUGUGACUGGAACUGGAGCUGGUAAUUGCAAUUGAGGAAAGAGGCAGGAAGGUGCAGUGGUGGGAGGCAACGAGCCUGAGUGCAUGAACACUUGGGCAGGCAGCACUGGGCAUGGCUUGCUAAUUAGAAGAGAUAUACAUAAUCCUAUCAUCUUUUACUGUACCCAUAUUAAUGUGAUUGAGCACCUGAAUUUCUGCCUUAUAUGUGCAAUCUUCUUAACUGGAACAUUAGCAGACUUUCAACAGCGACGCACAGAAAAGCAAAUAGGACAUUGAUGUAGUGAUAAGCCUGCUGUGGGUCUGUGUGUGUCUCUGAUGAAGGAGACACAAUCUCAGGCAUGUGUGGCUAAAGUUUAGAUUGCUCUGCACGGCAGGCUGCGGUUUCCAGGGUCCCAAGGUAAGUGUGUGUGUACCUGCAUGCUGGAGUGCAGUCCCUCAUGUGCUAAUGAAAUCUGACUUGCUGGGUCACCCUCCUGCUUCAUUUGCAGUGACACAAUAUCAUUUAAAGUUGUUUGCUUAUUACAGAGAUAAUAUCACAAGGUGUGGUGCCCUGAUGGGAGCCUAGCAAGAAAGUAACACUCACUCACCCACCCACCUUUGGCAGAUUGUCUGAGGGUCCCUCAUUGGCUUCGUGACGGAAAGUGGUUGAUUCACCUCCACCCAGCGGUAAUUACGUGUUGCUGCCUACUGGAAGUUCCCAUGUUUGGCAUUGGACUGGUAACACAGCUGCUGCCACAGCAGGUUACUGAGACGUAGCAUGUCCCUUGGCAUGGCAGUGUGCUCACCUUGCUUCAUGACUUCAGUGCAAGUGUGGGCAGAGGAGCCCUGAUCCACCGCACGGGAGAGCUCUGGACGCUCCGACAGCGGCAGUGCCAUGUGCAAGCCAGGUUACAAUGCACAGCCAGAGAGACAGCAGCACAGACAGCCAGAUGGCAGCUGGCUUUGUACACGUGAGCACGGUCAUAUGGUCACACGCACAAGACCACAGAGCAGUCACGCUCCUCACUGUGAAACCCAAGGAGGUUUCUGAAAAACGUCGCUCUGCAGUUCCUGCUCUGACAGCAGAACGCGGCCGUGGGGCCAGCACCGACCUAAACAUCGCAGGGCAUGGACACAGCAAGUUAAUUUAAUAAAUUUCAAAUUCUGAGAGGAAUUUUUCCCAGUUCACAAACUGUUGGAUGUUAACAAAGUUGUAAAUUGGAGUCAGUGACAAGAGAGCACAGGUUCAGCAGCAGAGAUGUGAGAUCAGCUCUACAGCUGCUGGACUUGAUGAGUUACACCAGUGACGCCAGACAAGUAUUUUACAGAGUAUUUUAACAGUCUGUGCUUGUGGGGAUUGUACUAAUUUUUGGUGAAGAUACUGAAGUAAUUUACAAUAGGAAUAUUAUUUACCAGCCCUUGGAAAGCUGCAUCGUGGAGCCAUGUUCAUGUGUGCUUUGGAUGGCUUAGAAGGGGACAGGACGAAGGAGUGGAAAGAACCACAUCCUCCUCUCGAUCACAAAUCACUCAUGUUUGUACCUGAAAGACCAUAAAUGUGUCUGUUUGCAGUGUACUGGCACGCAGCCUGGGAACUUC